rfam:Spinacia oleracea cultivar SynViroflay scaffold74511.con0003.1, whole genome shotgun sequence.
AACCUAUUAGCUCAAAUGGGAGAGCAAUGUGUCAUUGCACAUGGAUGUAGGUUCGAAUCCUACAUAGGUUG